CUUGGUCAUUUAGAGGAAGUAAAAGUCGUAACAAGGUUUCCGUAGGUGGUUCGCCUGCGAAUUUAGUCUGCUUAGCAGGCAACAUCUUUACUGUGCUAGAAAUUACAAUUGUAUUACUAGCAGCCUGCUUAGCAGGUUCACAGAUCAAAUAGAGGUGGCCCUUAGGGGUUGAGACAUGAUCGAGUUGAUGCUGAAAUAGCACUGAGAAAUUGGAACCUGCGGAAGGAUCAUUAAAGAGUCAUUAUGGGCUUACACCCUAAUACUCCACCCUUUGUUUACAUUACCUCUGUUGCUUUGGCAGGCCCGUCCUUGUGACCACUGGCUUAGGCUGGUCCGCGCCUGCCAGAGGACCUAAAACUCUUGUUUAAUCAUAUUGUCUGAGUACUAUAUAAUAGUUAAAACUUUCAACAACGGAUCUCUUGGUUCUGGCAUCGAUGAAGAACGCAGCGAAAUGCGAUAAGUAAUGUGAAUUGCAGAAUUCAGUGAAUCAUCGAAUCUUUGAACGCACAUUGCGCCCUCUGGUAUUCCGGAGGGUAUGCCUGUUUGAGUGUCAUUAAUCUCUCAACGCAAGAAACUUUGUCUUCUUGUGCUUGGAUAUUGAAGGUUUUGCUGGCGCAAACAACUGUCAGCUCCUUUUAAAUGUAUUAGCAGAGCAGUAUGGGACUGGCCUCAGUUUGAUAAGAAACUUUAUCUAUGCUGUCGCUGGGUUUUCCUCUUUGUGCUCAGCUUCAAAUUGUCUUCGGACUGUCUCUUGAGGCAACAAAAUCUCUAUUGAUCGACCUCAAAUCAGGUAGGACUACCCGCUGAACUUAAGCAUAUCAAUAAGCGGAGGA
rnacentral:rRNA from 1 species